GACGAACGCUGGCGGCGCGCUUAACACAUGCAAGUCGAACGGAAAGGCCUGCUUUCCCUUGUGGAUUGCGGGUACUCGAGUGGCGAACGGGUGAGUAACACGUGAGUGAUCUGCCCCCAACUUGGGUAUAAGCCUGGGAAACUGGGUCUAAUUCCCGAUAGGACUGCAGGGUGGUGCCUGUGGUGGAAAACGAUUUUCUAGUGGUUGGGGAUGAGCUCGCGGCCUAUCAGCUUGUUGGUGGGGUAAUGGCCUACCAAGGCGGCGACGGGUAGCCGGCCUGAGAGGGUGGACGGUCAUAUUGGGACUGAGAUACGGCCCAGACUCCUACGGGAGGCAGCAGUGGGGAAUAUGGCACAAUGGGCGGAAGCCUGAUGCAGCGACGCCGCGUGGGGGAUGACGGCCUUCGGGUUGUAAACUCCUUUCGACCGCGAGGAAGCCACCUGGUUGGAAGGGUGGUGACGGUAGUGGUAGAAGAAGCACCGGCUAACUACGUG
rnacentral:rRNA from 1 species